rnacentral:rRNA from 1 species
GCGGUGAGCAUGUGGUUUAAUUCGAAGCAACGCGAAGAACCUUACCAGGUCUUGACAUCCCUGACAACCCGAGAGAUCGGGCGUUCCCCUUCGGGGGACAGGGUUGACAGGUGGUGCAUGGUUGUCGUCAGCUCGUGUCGUGAGAUGUUGGGUUAAGUCCCGCAACGAGCGCAACCCUCGACCUUAGUUGCCAGCAUUCAGUUGGGCACUCUAAGGUGACUGCCGGCUAAAAGUCGGAGGAAGUGGGGAUGACGUCAAAUCAUCAUGCCCCUUAUGACCUGGGCUACACACGUGCUACAAUGGGCGGUACAAAGGGUCGCGAACCCGCGAGGGGGAGCCAAUCCCAAAAAGCCGCUCUCAGUUCGGAUUGCAGGCUGCAACUCGCCUGCAUGAGGCCGGAAUCGCUAGUAAUCGCGGAUCAGCAUGCCGCGGUGAAUACGUUCCCGGGCCUU